UACGGAGGGAGCUAGCGUUGUUCGGAAUUACUGGGCGUAAAGCGCACGUAGGCGGAUCGAUCAGUCAGGGGUGAAAUCCCAGAGCUCAACUCUGGAACUGCCUUUGAUACUGUCGAUCUGGAGUAUGGAAGAGGUGAGUGGAAUUCCGAGUGUAGAGGUGAAAUUCGUAGAUAUUCGGAGGAACACCAGUGGCGAAGGCGGCUCACUGGACAUGUAUUGACGCUGAGGUGCGAAAGCGUGGGGAGCAAACAGG
rnacentral:rRNA from 1 species